rnacentral:rRNA from 1 species
GGUUAAGCGACUAAGCGUACACGGUGGAUGCCCCGGCAGUCAGAGGCGAUGAAGGACGUGCUAAUCUGCGAUAAGCGUCGGUAAGGUGAUAUGAACCGUUAUAACCGGCGAUUUCCGAAUGGGGAAACCCAGUGUGAUUCGUCACACUAUCAUUAACUGAAUCCAUAGGUUAAUGAGGCGAACCGGGGAACUGAAACAUCUAAGUACCCCGAGGAAAAGAAAUCAACCGAGAUUCCCCCAGUAGCGGCGAGCGAACGGGGAGCAGCCCAGAGCCUGAAUCAGUGUGUGUGUUAGUGGAAGCGUCUGGAAAGGCGCGCGAUACAGGGUGACAGCCCCGUACACAAAAAUGCACAUACUGUGAGCUCGAUGAGUAGGGCGGGACACGUGGUAUCCUGUCUGAAUAUGGGGGACCAUCCUCCAAGGCUAAAUACUCCUGACUGACCGAUAGUGAACCAGUACCGUGAGGGAAAGGCGAAAAGAACCCCGGCGAGGGGAGUGAAAAGAACCUGAAACCGUGUACGUACAAGCAGUGGGAGCACGCUUAGGCGUGUGACUGCGUACCUUUUGUAUAAUGGGUCAGCGACUUAUAUUCUGUAGCAAGGUUAACCGAAUAGGGGAGCCGAAGGGAAACCGAGUCUUAACUGGGCGUUAAGUUGCAGGGUAUAGACCCGAAACCCGGUGAUCUAGCCAUGGGCAGGUUGAAGGUUGGGUAACACUAACUGGAGGACCGAACCGACUAAUGUUGAAAAAAUUAGCGGAUGACUUGUGGCUGGGGGUGAAAGGCCAAUCAAACCGGGAGAUAGCUGGUUCUCCCCGAAAGCUAUUUAGGUAGCGCCUCGUGAAUUCAUCUCCGGGGGUAGAGCACUGUUUCGGCAAGGGGUCAUCCCGACUUACCAACCCGAUGCAAACUGCGAAUACCGGAGAAUGUUAUCACGGGAGACACACGGCGGGUGCUAACGUCCGUCGUGAAGAGGGAAACAACCCAGACCGCCAGCUAAGGUCCCAAAGUCAUGGUUAAGUGGGAAACGAUGUGGGAAGGCCCAGACAGCCAGGAUGUUGGCUUAGAAGCAGCCAUCAUUUAAAGAAAGCGUAAUAGCUCACUGGUCGAGUCGGCCUGCGCGGAAGAUGUAACGGGGCUAAACCAUGCACCGAAGCUGCGGCAGCGACGCUGAUGCGUUGUUGGGUAGGGGAGCGUUCUGUAAGCCUGCGAAGGUGUGCUGUGAGGCAUGCUGGAGGUAUCAGAAGUGCGAAUGCUGACAUAAGUAACGAUAAAGCGGGUGAAAAGCCCGCUCGCCGGAAGACCAAGGGUUCCUGUCCAACGUUAAUCGGGGCAGGGUGAGUCGACCCCUAAGGCGAGGCCGAAAGGCGUAGUCGAUGGGAAACAGGUUAAUAUUCCUGUACUUGGUGUUACUGCGAAGGGGGGACGGAGAAGGCUAUGUUGGCCGGGCGACGGUUGUCCCGGUUUAAGCGUGUAGGCUGGUUUUCCGGGCAAAUCCGGAAAAUCAAGGCUGAGGCGUGAUGACGAGGCACUACGGUGCUGAAGCAACAAAUGCCCUGCUUCCAGGAAAAGCCUCUAAGCAUCAGGUAACAUCAAAUCGUACCCCAAACCGACACAGGUGGUCAGGUAGAGAAUACCAAGGCGCUUGAGAGAACUCGGGUGAAGGAACUAGGCAAAAUGGUGCCGUAACUUCGGGAGAAGGCACGCUGAUAUGUAGGUGAGGUCCCUCGCGGAUGGAGCUGAAAUCAGUCGAAGAUACCAGCUGGCUGCAACUGUUUAUUAAAAACACAGCACUGUGCAAACACGAAAGUGGACGUAUACGGUGUGACGCCUGCCCGGUGCCGGAAGGUUAAUUGAUGGGGUUAGCGCAAGCGAAGCUCUUGAUCGAAGCCCCGGUAAACGGCGGCCGUAACUAUAACGGUCCUAAGGUAGCGAAAUUCCUUGUCGGGUAAGUUCCGACCUGCACGAAUGGCGUAAUGAUGGCCGGGCUGUCUCCACCCGAGACUCAGUGAAAUUGAACUCGCUGUGAAGAUGCAGUGUACCCGCGGCAAGACGGAAAGACCCCGUGAACCUUUACUAUAGCUUGACACUGAACAUUGAGCCUUGAUGUGUAGGAUAGGUGGGAGGCUUUGAAGUGUGGACGCCAGUCUGCAUGGAGCCGACCUUGAAAUACCACCCUUUAAUGUUUGAUGUUCUAACGUUGACCCGUAAUCCGGGUUGCGGACAGUGUCUGGUGGGUAGUUUGACUGGGGCGGUCUCCUCCUAAAGAGUAACGGAGGAGCACGAAGGUUGGCUAAUCCUGGUCGGACAUCAGGAGGUUAGUGCAAUGGCAUAAGCCAGCUUGACUGCGAGCGUGACGGCGCGAGCAGGUGCGAAAGCAGGUCAUAGUGAUCCGGUGGUUCUGAAUGGAAGGGCCAUCGCUCAACGGAUAAAAGGUACUCCGGGGAUAACAGGCUGAUACCGCCCAAGAGUUCAUAUCGACGGCGGUGUUUGGCACCUCGAUGUCGGCUCAUCACAUCCUGGGGCUGAAGUAGGUCCCAAGGGUAUGGCUGUUCGCCAUUUAAAGUGGUACGCGAGCUGGGUUUAGAACGUCGUGAGACAGUUCGGUCCCCAUCUGCCGUGGGCGCUGGAGAACUGAGGGGGGCUGCUCCUAGUACGAGAGGACCGGAGUGGACGCAUCACUGGUGUUCGGGUUGUCAUGCCAAUGGCACUGCCCGGUAGCUAAAUGCGGAAGAGAUAAGUGCUGAAAGCAUCUAAGCACGAAACUUGCCCCGAGAUGAGUUCUCCUGACCCUUUAAGGGUCCUGAAGGAACGUUGAAGACGACGACGUUGAUAGGCCGGGUGUGUAAGCGCAGCGAUGCGUUGAGCUAACCGGUACUAAUGAACCGUGAGGCUUAACCUU